CUACUCAAACCUAACUUAACCUUUUAUGUACACCAUUUUCUCCUAUAAAACCAUCCAAACAACCCAAAUUCACAAGCUUUUGUAAAAAGAUCAGAUUUGCAGACACAAACAACAACAUGGGUCGAUUCCAAUUUCUGGAGGCGGUGCUGCCGCUAGGGAUUAUCGCCGGCAUGCUCUGCAUCGCCGGAAACGUUCAGUAUCAAAUCCACAAAGCUGCACACGGUCGCCCCAAACACAUCGGCAAUGAUAUGUGGGACGUUGCAAUGGAACGACGGGACAAGAAAAUCGUUGAUGACAAACUUUAUCCUGCCAGUAAUUAGGGUUUCUUCUUACAAGGAAGCAUUGGCAAUGUGAUGCAAGGAAUAAGGGGAGAUUGGCUAUGUGUUUACUUUUUCUUGUUUUGUUGGAAAACACAUUUAUAAACUUGACUUUGUGAAAUUGGUAUUGUUCUGCAAAAUGCUUGCUGCGUUACUUGUUUGUAGUUUGCAAGUUUUACGAGUAGAUUGGUUUGUUUCGAUCGAAUCUACGAAUGAGAUUGUUAAACCGCAUAAGCCGUUGAGCUGAAUCGAACCCUUUUGUACUUUUGCAUUCGUUCAAACUAAACGAUGUUUUCUUCAAGGCUGAUUUUGCAUUCAAUUCCAGUAUCCGGAAAUAGUUGCAGGAUUAGAUUAAAAAAAAUAUAUUCUUAUGAUGUGUACGAAGUGAUCUCAACUUUUUUUAUCUCAAUGUUUUAAUGGUUCAGUGGUUAUGAUUAGGUGAUUGGCGAGAUGGUAAUAAUAGAAAGUUA
rnacentral:lncRNA from 1 species